rnacentral:rRNA from 1 species
AUUGAACGCUGGCGGCAGGCCUAACACAUGCAAGUCGAGCGGAUGAAGGGAGCUUGCUCCUGGAUUCAGCGGCGGACGGGUGAGUAAUGCCUAGGAAUCUGCCUGGUAGUGGGGGAUAACGUCCGGAAACGGGCGCUAAUACCGCAUACGUCCUGAGGGAGAAAGUGGGGGAUCUUCGGACCUCACGCUAUCAGAUGAGCCUAGGUCGGAUUAGCUAGUUGGUGGGGUAAAGGCCUACCAAGGCGACGAUCCGUAACUGGUCUGAGAGGAUGAUCAGUCACACUGGAACUGAGACACGGUCCAGACUCCUGCGGGAGGCAGCAGUGGGGAAUAUUGGACAAUGGGCGAAAGCCUGAUCCAGCCAUGCCGCGUGUGUGAAGAAGGUCUUCGGAUUGGAAAGCACUUUAAGUUGGGAGGAAGGGCAGUAAGUUAAUACCUUGCUGUUUUGACGUUACCAACAGAAUAAGCACCGGCUAACUUCGUG